UCUGAGUGAUGCCCGCUAAGGGCAUCUUUUGGCACCUCUAAAAAUGGUGCAGAAUAAGGGGUGGGCAAGUCUGGUGUCAGCCGCCGCGGUAAUACCAGCACCCCGAGUGGUCGGGACGAUUAUUGGGCCUAAAGCAUCCGUAGCUUGUUCUGCAAGUCUUCCGUUAAAUCCACCUGCUCAACAGAUGGGCUGCGGGAGAUACUACAGGGCUAGGAGGCGGGAGAGGCAAGCGGUACUCAGUGGGUAGGGGUAAAAUCCUCUGAUCCACUGAAGACCACCAGUGGCGAAGGCGGCUUGCCAGAACGCGCUCGACGGUGAGGGAUGAAAGCUGGGGGAGCAAACCGGAUUAGAUACCCGGGUAGUCCCAGCUGUAAACGAUGCAGACUCGGUGAUGGGUUGGCUUCGCGCUAAUCCAGUGCCGCAGGGAAGCCGUUAAGUCUGCCGCCUGGGGAGUACGGCCGCAAGACUGAAACUUAAAGGAAUUGGCGGGGGAGCAC
rnacentral:rRNA from 1 species